GCUGGGUUUAGAACGUCGUGAGACAGUUCGGUCCCUAUCUGCCGUGGGCGCUGGAGAACUGAGGGGGGCUGCUCCUAGUACGAGAGGACCGGAGUGGACGCAUCACUGGUGUUCGGGUUGUCAUGCCAAUGGCACUGCCCGGUAGCUAAAUGCGGAAGAGAUAAGUGCUGAAAGCAUCUAAGCACGAAACUUGCCCCGAGAUGAGUUCUCCCUGAGACUUUAAGUCUCCUGAAGGAACGUUGAAGACGACGACGUUGAUAGGCCGGGUGUGUAAGCGCAGCGAUGCGUUGAGCUAACCGGUACUAAUGAACCGUGAGGCUUAACCUU
rnacentral:rRNA from 1 species